rnacentral:rRNA from 1 species
UAGGAUUCUCUAGUAGCGGCGAGCGAAAAGGGAAAAGUCCAGCACGUAGAAUCGCAACUGUUAUGGUUGUUGAUUGAUGCCGUGUACAGGUUCGGCCAUUAUCUCAUAUUAUAAUUAGUAUGUUCAAGUCCUUCUUGAAUGAGGCAAUAUACCCAUAGAGGGUGAUAGGCCCGUAUAACUGCUAUGAUAUAUGAGAGGUUGUUACCUAGGAGUCGUGUUGCUUGAAAGUGCAGCACUAAGCGGGAGGUAAACUCCUUCUAAGACUAAAUAUUACCAUGAGACCGAUAGCGAACAAGUACCGUGAGGGAAAGUUGAAAAGCACUCUGAAUAGAGAGUCAAAAAGUACGUGAAACUGUCUAGGGUUAAGAAAGCAUGAAGUGUCUAAAUAUCUGAAUGGAGAAAUUCAGUAUCAUAUUGUUGUAGUAAUGUUAUUACGAAGCAUAUGGUGUGCACUUUUCUCCUUGUAAGACACUGCGAUCCAUUAGAACCUUGUGUUAAUAACUACCAUGUUGUGAGUUAUUAUAUCUAUCAAUGGGCCUGGCAUGGAGCUUACAUAUUUGAUGUUAGUACUAUAUAUUGUUAAGGUGAUAUACAGGAAAGCAAUGUAAACUGCUGGUGUCUCGUAUAGAUGUCUGAUGGAUUUAAAUGCGAUCACAAUAUGACACCCUUGUGGUGUAACCAGUAAUGGUUUAUUGUAUUGUGUCGGAUCAGCAGUGUAUUUGUUUAGUAAUCUUCAUGA